rnacentral:sRNA from 1 species
AAUGUCACUCCGACAGGAAUGAAUUGAUUAGUUCGGCCGCCUUUUCGGGCCGCUCCCAAAACAU